UACAGAGGUGGCAAGCGUUGUUCGGAAUUACUGGGCGUAAAGGGCGCGUAGGCGGCCUUCUAAGUCAGACGUGAAAUCCCCCGGCUUAACCUGGGAACUGCGUCUGAUACUGGAAGGCUUGAGUGCGGGAGAGGUGAGUGGAACUCCGAGUGUAGAGGUGAAAUUCGUAGAUAUUCGGAAGAACACCAGUGGCGAAGGCGGCUCACUGGCCCGGUACUGACGCUCAGGUGCGAAAGCGUGGGGAGCAAACAGG
rnacentral:rRNA from 1 species